GACGAACGCUGGCGGCGUGCUUAACACAUGCAAGUCGAACGGAAAGGCCCUGCUUUUGUGGGGUGCUCGAGUGGCGAACGGGUGAGUAACACGUGAGUAACCUGCCCUUGACUUUGGGAUAACUUCAGGAAACUGGGGCUAAUACCGGAUAGGAGCUCCUGCUGCAUGGGGGGGGUUGGAAAGUUUCGGCGGUUGGGGAUGGACUCGCGGCUUAUCAGCUUGUUGGUGGGGUAGUGGCUUACGAAGGCUUUGACGGGUAGCCGGCCUGGGAGGGUGACCGGCCACAUUGGGCCUGAGGUACGGCCCAGACUCCUACGGGAGGCAGCAGUGGGGAAUAUUGCCCAAUGGGCGGAAGCCUGAUGCAGCAACGCCGCGUGCGGGAUGACGGCCUUCGGGUUGUAAACCGCUUUCGCCUGUGACGAAGCGUGAGUGACGGUAAUGGGUAAAGAAGCACCGGCUAACUACGUG
rnacentral:rRNA from 1 species